rnacentral:rRNA from 1 species
CCUACGGGUGGCAGCAGUGGGGAAUAUUGGACAAUGGGCGAAAGCCUGAUCCAGCCAUGCCGCGUGUGUGAAGAAGGCCUUCGGGUUGUAAAGCACUUUCAGUGGGGAAGAAAGCCUUGGGGCUAAUACCCUCGAGGAAGGACAUCACCUACAGAAGAAGCACCGGCUAACUCCGUGCCAGCAGCCGCGGUAAUACGGAGGGUGCGAGCGUUAAUCGGAAUUACUGGGCGUAAAGCGCGCGUAGGCGGUCUGAUAAGCCGGUUGUGAAAGCCCCGGGCUCAACCUGGGAACGGCAUCCGGAACUGUCAGGCUAGAGUGCAGGAGAGGAAGGUAGAAUUCCCGGUGUAGCAGUGAAAUGCGUAGAGAUCGGGAGGAAUACCAGUGGCGAAGGCGGCCUUCUGGACUGACACUGACGCUGAGGUGCGAAAGCGUGGGUAGCAAACAGGAUUAGAUACCCCAGUAGUC